UCAUCCGAGGAGCGCUGCGAGGAGUUUCCCCAGGCUCGGAUCGUUUAAACGGCGCUCAUCGAUC
rnacentral:ncRNA from 2 species